rnacentral:tRNA from 1 species
UACGGAYUUAAAAUCCGUCGAUUUUUAAAAUCGUGAGGGUUCAAGUCCCUCUAUCCCCC